rnacentral:rRNA from 1 species
CCGGCGCACGGGUGAGUAACACGUAUCCAACCUGCCGUCUACUCUUGGACAGCCUUCUGAAAGGAAGAUUAAUACAAGAUGGCAUCAUGAGUCCGCAUGUUCACAUGAUUAAAGGUAUUCCGGUAGACGAUGGGGAUGCGUUCCAUUAGAUAGUAGGCGGGGUAACGGCCCACCUAGUCUUCGAUGGAUAGGGGUUCUGAGAGGAAGGUCCCCCACAUUGGAACUGAGACACGGUCCAGACUCCUACGGGAGGCAGCAUG